rnacentral:lncRNA from 1 species
AUGGGCUGGAGUGGCAGGGAGGCAGGGUUGACAAAGCUCCCGCUGCCCGUCCUCGCCACGUGCUCUCUGACACAUUUCUUUGGCAUCAGUCACGGCCUCACGUCUGCCCUGUGGCCUUUUGCUCGGAGAGAGAACAGCGGAACUCACUGCACACAUACAUGCUGCUGGGGGAACAAAGCCCCCUGUGUGUUUCAGUACCCUCUCUCUCUGUGGCUAUGUCUCUCUCUUUCCCCCUUCUCUCUCACUCCAUGCCUAUCUCUCUCUUUCCCCUUCUCUCUCACUCCAUGCCUCUCUCUCUUUCCCCUUCUCUCUCACUCCAUGCUUCUCUCUCCUUCUCUCUCACCCCUUGCCUCUCUCUCUUUCUCCUUCUCUCUCACUCCAUGCCUCUCUCUCUUUCUCCUUCUCUCUCACUCCAUGCUUCUCUCUCCUUCUCCUUCUCUCUCCCUCCAUGCCUCUCUCUCCUUCUCCUUCUCUCUCACUCCAUGCCUCUCUCUCUCCUUCUCUCACUCCAUGCCUCUCUCUCUUUCUCCUUCUCUCUCACUCCAUGCUUAUCUCUCAUUUUCCUUCUCUCUCACUCCAUGCCUCUCUCUCUUUCUCCUUCUCUCUCUCUCCUUUUCCUUCUCUCUCACUCAUGCCUAUUUCUCUCUUUCUCCUUCUCUCUCACUCCAUGCAUCUCUCUCAUUUUCCUUCUCUCUCAUUCCAUGCCUCUCUCUCUCUCUCCUUCUCCUUCUCUCACUCCAUGCCUCUCUCUCCUUUUCCUUCUCUCUCACUCAUGCCUAUUUCUCUCUUUCUCCUUCUCUCUCACUCCAUGCUUCUCUCUCAUUUUCCUUCUCUCUCAUUCCAUGCCUCUCUCUCUUUCUCCUUCUCUCUCUCUCCUUCUCCUUCUCUCACUCCAUGCCUCUCUCCUUCUCCUUCUCUCUCACUCCAUGCCUAUUUCUCUCUUUCUCCUUCUCUCUCACUCCAUGCCUCUCUCUCUCUCCUUCUCCUUCUCUCACCCAUGCUUCUCUCUCCUCCUUCUCUCUCACUCCAUGCCUAUUUCUCUCUUUCUCCUUCCCUCUCACUCCAUGCCUCUCUCUCUCCUUCUCUCACUCCAUGCUUCUCUCUCCUUCUCCUUCUCUCUCACUCCAUGCCUAUUUCUCUCUUUCUCCUUCUCUCUCACUCCAUGCCUCUCUCUAUUUCUCCUUCUCUCACUCCAUGCCUCUCUCUCUCUCCUUCUCCUUCUCUCACUCCAUGCCUCUCUCUCCUUCUCCUUCUCUCACUCUAUGCCUAUUUCUCUCUUUCUCCUUAUCUCUCACUCCAUGCCUAUUUCUCUCUUUCUCCUUCUCUCACACUCCAUGCUUCUCUCUCCUUCUCCUUCUCUCUCACUCCAUGCUUCUCUCUCCUUCUCCUUCUCUCUCACUCCAGCCUUCGGCUGUCUAUAAGGGUCUGGGUGCUGGAGGAUGA